rnacentral:rRNA from 1 species
AUACAGAGGGUGCGAGCGUUAAUCGGAAUUACUGGGCGUAAAGCGCGCGUAGGCGGCUACUUAAGUCAGAUGUGAAAUCCCCGGGCUCAACCUGGGAACUGCAUCUGAUACUGGGUAGCUAGAGUUUUGGAGAGGGAAGUAGAAUUUCAGGUGUAGCGGUGAGAUGCAUAGAGAUCUGAAGGAAUACCAGUGGCGAAGGCGACUUCCUGGCCAAAAACUGACGCUGAGGUGCGAAAGCGUGGGUAGCAAACGGGAUUAGAAACCCUAGUAGUCC